GAGUUUUGAUCCUGGCUCAGGAUGAACGCUGGCUGUGUGCCUAAUACAUGCAUGUCGAACGAAGCACUUGUGCUUAGUGGCAAAUGGGUGAGUAACACGUACUUAAUCUACCUUUAAGAUUGGAAUAACAUUUGGAAACAACUGCUAAUACCAAAUAUGUAAUCAUUUCGCAUGAAUUGAUUAUAAAAGAAGCGUUCGCUUCGCUUAACGAUGAGAGUGCG
rnacentral:rRNA from 1 species